GGGGAGAAAAGAGUUUUUUCAUCCUGAAGUGUGUGAAUGUUUGGGAGACACCUCCAGAUGGAGAAGGAAUUACAGCUUCGAUGACCCUAAACAUUAUGGAGAAUUGUAAUGUUAAAGAUAUGGCUUUUAUAUCUAGUAAGAAUUUUGAUAGGCAUGUGUUUGGUUUUUCACAUCUGGCCAACUUUAAAAGUACAAUUCAGGAACAGAAAAAUUAAUCUGAAAAAGUUUUCAGCUCUUUGCAGUUCAAAGAAAAUCUUUACUGAUGCCCACUCAGAAGUCAUGACUUUAACUGCACAGCAAAUAGUUUUCUACUAGCAUGGAUUAUAAUAAUACAACUGAGUUAUAAUAAUACAACUGACUACUACUACACAUGCAGACUGGAACCAUGAAAAUCAGCUUCAGUGAUGCAUUCUCAAUCUUUGCUGACCCUGACCAAGUUCUUGUACCUAUCAGAAAAAAAGUCUGUCCAAAACCUAAGCUAAGGAAGGAGUAAAAAAAUCUAGUUCUGAAAAUGUCUUGCCUUUGGAAGUAACACAGUAUACUUCACUGUGGUGGAUCCUCAAGACAAUGCUUGCUCUUUCAUGCAUAGUAACUACAUGGAAUUUGUCACAGGAGUUGUUACAGAUGGCUAUGAAUUUACUCUAUGAGUGAGAAGAUAUUUCCCAGUAUAACAAGUUCUGAUAUGUAUGAAGAAUAUUUGGCAAGAUGAUCAGUAUGAUGAUCAAACUGUACUAUUGUUUCAGGAUAGGAUAGCGAGUUUUUUCUUUGCUUUUCUUCGCUUUUCUUUCUUCGCUUUUCUUCGCUUUUCUUUGCUUUUCUUCACUUCUCUUUUUUACUGUUCAUUUUAAGUUCUAUCUGACUAAGUGAUCUCAUUUUUGUUUCACACAAAGCCUUUGUUGUGCAACAAGAGAAUAGGGGUGGUGUUGCAGCCCCUUCUGCCUGUCUUCUUCAUAGCAGAUGUGAGGUUCUGGGAGAGAGGACUAACUGACAUCAUGUGUUGGCUGAGUCCAGUAAGCAAGGUUGUCAUACCCCUUCAUUAGCCUCAGGAGGUCAGCCUGGUGUCUAUGCAGGUGCAGAACUAUGCAAAUGAAGUGCUGGUGAAAUUAUGUUUGAGGUGCAAUGUCCAAAGUUGAGUCUUUUUACUUUGAGGCAAGUAAAGAUAGAAAUGUUUCCCACAGCUUUGAAGAUAUCUAAAAAUGAUUUCUUCAGCAAUGCAAGAUUAUAUCACCAUGAACACUGUGCACCUUGUAACCCUUAUAUGUAGAACUCUUUCUUAUAUGUAACCAGUGGUGAUAACUCUUCUUUUUGCUCUUCAUAAACAUAAUUUAAAAUGUUAAAGGGGUUCUUUCUAAAUUCUUUGCAAGAUGUGUUUGCAAAUUCUAGUUCUUCAUUUUAUUUUGAGGGAGAAAAAUGGAAAUAUCUUAUUUUUCCUGGAUUACUUUUUAUAGUCUUUGCACCAGUUAACCACCCAUAUGGGAAUAGGAUUUGCUCUGUUGCUUGUUUUUCAGAGUAGGCAUUCUGUUGAUAUUUACAUAUAUUUUCCCUCAUUUUUUUUCCUUGUUUUCUACCCUUCUGCACAGCUAAAAGGGUGGCCUGAAAACUUUAGGCAUAGCAGGUUGUAUGGUUCUUUUUUCAUCAAUUAUAAUUAAAUGUGAGAUUUAAUUUUAAAUCUGAAAUGCAGAAGAAAUUGCAUCCAACCACUCAUUGUCCAAGAUCAAUAGCAAUACAGGUUUGGCAUAGACAGCAAGUUCUCAAACUUUGUACUUGAGAGGAAAAAAUAAUCUAAAUUAUUAGAUUGCCUUGGCAACUUUCAUUCAUUCACUCACAAUCCUGAAAUAUCAAGACUGAGUUACUAAUGAUAAAAUUUCAUAGCAUUUUAUUGUCUAUGUUAUUUAGCAGUGUACUAUCCGGAUGUUUUUGUUUGCAUCAAUGUAAUUUUUAUAACUGAAUUGAUCGGUCAAUCUGUGAAGGAAUUCAGCCUUUUUUGUAGAGAAAAUGACUUUGUGUCAAGAGGAAAAUGACUAUCUGCAUUUCUCUAUAUUUGUCUAUUAGCUAGUUAAUUUCUGCUGCUACUUUUAAAAGCCAUCGUGGCUUGUGGACAAUACAGUUAUACUUAUUUCACAAAGAAUUUCUGUACAAUUUUAAUGAAAAUGCAUAUGUAAUAUACAAACUUCACAGUCAUCUGUAUUUGGGAGACAAUACUGUUUUAAGCAGGUCAACAACUUUUUAAAACUAUUUGUAGAGUUAAACGGUAUAAAAAGUACUAAAUAAUUUUCAGUUAAAAAAAAAUCUCUUUCACCACUCAAUAAAUCAAUUGAUAAUACAACUGACAUCAUUAUGUAAGAGAGAGCAUAAAGGAGAGCAAUCCACAAGAAUGUUUGUAUGAAAACCUACUCUCCAGUUACAUGAUAUUUCAUUAUAGUGUCAUGUUGAGUGUAACAUU